rnacentral:tRNA from 1 species
GCCCCUAUAGCUCAACGGAUAGAGUGGCAGUUUCCGGAACUGUUGAUGCAGGUUCGAUUCCUGCUGGGGGCA